rnacentral:rRNA from 1 species
UACGUAGGGUCCGAGCGUUGUCCGGAAUUACUGGGCGUAAAGAGCUCGUAGGUGGUUUGUCGCGUUGUUCGUGAAAACUCACAGCUCAACUGUGGGCGUGCGGGCGAUACGGGCAGACUUGAGUACUGCAGGGGAGACUGGAAUUCCUGGUGUAGCGGUGGAAUGCGCAGAUAUCUGGAGGAACACCGGUGGCGAAGGCGGGUCUCUGGGCCGAUACUGACGCUGAGGAGCGAAAGCGUGGGGAGCGAACAGG